AUCUAUGCGCAAAGGAAGAAUCUAAACUAAAUGAAGUCGCAAAUGGGUUCAAGGCAAUUGAGCCACUGAAUAUGAAAAUUAUAUUUACGUAAGGACUAGUACCCUCCUGCUGCAGCAAUUAUCUUCAAAUGCCAAAAUACGAUUUUCUUAUAAUUAAUAAAACUGCCUUUGAACUUAUUUUCGCAAACUCAUUAAAAUAACUAAUUAAAUUCUGCGCAGGUCAUUGCUUUAACUGUCACUAUCAUAGUGUCGCAUAUGUUGAGGGCGAGAAUCUAGCACACAUGUUUAACUCUAUAAUUUUCAGUUGAUGUAUCACCGGUAUUAAAAAUAAUGCUAUACUCCGUGAUAAACAAUGCUCUUCUGAUCGCGUGGGUUAUGCUGGAAGUUCCAAAAUAUAUUAAUAAUAGAUAAUAUCCUAAGGGUUUUUGUAUAUUAGACAAUCUACUGUCAGGUCAAUUGAAUAUCGGUUCCUAAUUGCACAUGCAAGAUUAUGUAAAUGUUUGAUAUAGAUUUAUUAAAAUAUGACUAAAUAAAGCUGUAUUAUAGUGACAUUAAA